AGACACAGAAACACAGUUAACACGACUUCCUGGAAUAACACAUUCUGAUUGGUUAAUCACACCAUUUCAUUGUCCAGUGACAUUUAACAGUGCUAUUCAUAACUUUUUUUAAUAUUUGUGACCCAUUCCAGUCUAUGAAGACCCAGUUUAAAGGGGACAUACCAUGAAAAUGCACUGUAAAAAAUCCAAUUAAUGAAAUGUUGGAAGGGCAAAAAUAUAUAAGUUAAACCAAUUUUCUUGUUGAGGCUUAGUUGAGUAGACAUAUUAUUUUAAGUCUAGAUAAAUCUGUGUUUAAAACAUUACGUGAAUGGUUAUUUCCAAAUUCAGUCAACAUUCAGAAUGGCUAUGUUGACUGAACUAAUUAAGACAAAUCUGGUCAAUAUGUGGACUUAUGACAGCUAUGUUUCCUGACAACAAAAUGCUCAUAAUAUUACUGUUAUUUGGUAACAAAAUGUAAUUUUAAGAGUUGUUCAGGCGUGAAUGUAUGUGCUUUAAGUUUAAAUAUGCGGUCGGUUAAUAUAGAUAGCGUCUAUUUAAAAAUGUGCUCGGACACUUUCGGACGGAGAUGAGCUCCAGAAGAGCUCCAGAAAAUCACAGACACUUAAGCGCUCACACCCCGCCCAGCGCAGCCUCGCCUCGGCAAGCCCAUCAGAAAUCGACUGCUGGCUCUGAUAUCUCUGUGGCGUUUAAACAUGCGAUUUAAUUCAUUUUAAUUUCUUAUACUUAAUAAUAAAAGGUUUACCGGUAUGUUUUAAAUCAUAUUUUAGGUUUGCACUUAAAUGAUAUCGCUGUUGAAUGAUAUUUCAUAUCUUUCACAUUUGUUAUAACUGGGCUGCGUACUGCCUGCGAAUUUGAACUUCAGAGCUGAAGGUGCGAGUGGAGAAAUAGUCCCAAUAUCAUAACAAUCUUAAAACUUCUAAAUAUACCCGUGUGUGUACCCGUGUGCGUGCGUGUGUGUGCAUGUAUGUAUGUAUGCGCGUGCGUCUGUGUAUUUUGAAUUUAAAAUGUUUUAACUCGGAAGGAUCUGGAUCACAGGUCAUUUCAUCUGAGAUCAAUCCGCACGCAACAGCUGGAAUCACUUACUGUUUCACACAAUGAAGGACACACAAGUCAGCCGUUUCCUCAAGUUCACGUCAGAGCGGAGAUGAUGUGAGAGGCAGACCCGAGACAUAGCGAGACAGUCUCCGCUUGGACUGGCUGAGGAAAGUCUCCUAAAUGGCCCUGGAGAUGUUCUGACUGACUUUGGAGGCUUUUUGGACUGUUUUAUGCCCUCUAUUUAAAGAAGACUUAAUUCUGUAUGUUCAGUCUGUAUGAUAAGUGAAUAAGUGAAUAAAAAGCUUUUGUUUUUAUGUGA